rnacentral:misc_RNA from 1 species
CAAACGCGAAAUGUGUUAUGACAUGCAAUCUUUGAGAAUCAUGAAAUCUUUGAACGCACCUUGUACCCGAGGCACCGUCUUGGGUGUGUUUGUUUGAGCAUCGUAAAGCACUCACCCACGAGGUGGCGAUGAGCAAAUGAAUGUAAAAAUUCGUUGCUUUAAAGGGAUGAGCCGCGGUCACGUGAUGCGUCUUGGGAUAAUUCCAUCUGGACACGCACGUAGCCGGCCUCACAACCAUACUUUUUCAACGCGAUCUCAAAUCAAACAGGAUGACCCGCUGAACUUAA